GCCCGGGUAGCUCAAUCGGUAGAGCGUGUGGCUCUUAUGAAUGAUCACUUCUCGGAAAAACCUCAAGGUCGUGGGUUCGAGCCCCACCUCGGGCU